CUGCAGUGAGGGAUACGAUAAGAAUUUGGCGGCACGUCUAGGCUCAAAGAAAUUAACGUAGUUGAACGUAAUCUACAUAUAAGAUCUGGUAGUCCCGUGAACAAGGGAGACUUUUUAGACUACAUUUUGUACAUUCUUGUUGUAGCUUCUCGCCUGGAUAAAAAUGUUGAUUAAAGUAAAGACACUCACAGGAAAAGAGAUUGAGAUUGAUAUAGAACCAACGGAUAAG